rnacentral:rRNA from 1 species
GAUGAACGCUGGCGGCGUGCCUAAUACAUGCAAGUCGAGCGAACAGACGAGGAGCUUGCUCCUCUGACGUUAGCGGCGGACGGGUGAGUAACACGUGGAUAACCUACCUAUAAGACUGGGAUAACUUCGGGAAACCGGAGCUAAUACCGGAUAACAUGUUGAACCGCAUGGUUUAACAGUGAAAGACGGUCUUGCUGUCACUUAUAGAUGGAUCCGCGCCGCAUUAGCUAGUUGGUAAGGUAACGGCUUACCAAGGCAACGAUGCGUAGCCGACCUGAGAGGGUGAUCGGCCACACGGGAACUGAGACACGUUCCAGACUCCUACGGGAGGCAGCAGUCGGGAAUCUUCCGCAAUGGGCGAAAGCCUGACGGAGCAACGCCGGGUGAGUGAAGAAGGUCUUCUGAUCGUAAAACUCUGUUAUUAGGGAAGAACAAAUGUGUAAGUAACUAUGCACGUCUUGACGGUACCUAAUCAGAAAGCCACGGCUAACUACGUG